UGAGUGACUUAGAGGACUUCAAACCGUC
rnacentral:piRNA from 1 species